AUGGGGAGCAAGAGCAACGACGGCGGCGGCGGCGGCAGCGGCAGCAAGGACGCCGCCACGGAGGCGGCGGCCGCUGGCGGCGCGGCGACCAAGCAGGAGGCCCCGGCGAAUCGCGGGAAGACGCCGCAGCAGGUGAACCAGGAGCUGAGGGAGUCCCUGUCGAAGCAGGACAGUUUCCGCAAGCUGGCGGAGCGCUACGGCGGCGUGGACGACCUCCUCGACCUGUGCGUCGGCGACGGCGACGACAACUGCUUCGAUGACUGGUGCUGCGUCAUCAACCCCGAUGGAUCCUACUACUACAUGGACCGCCACUACGCGCCUGCCCCCGAUUACUUGCUGUCCUAUGAUGAUGCUGGUCGACUUGUUCUCCUCAAACAAGAAAAGCCCACCUGA
rnacentral:rRNA from 1 species